CUCCCAUUACAAUGUAAGUUCCAAGAGAGCAACUAUCUUUGUUUUAUGUGUAUCCCUGGAUCUUAGAAUGGUGCCUGGCACCUGUGGUGCUCGAACCAAGUCACCUGUGGUGCUCGAACCAAGUCACCUGUGGUGCUCAAACCAAGUCUGUCUGAGCAAGUGAAGAAGUGAAGGAGAAGGGGGUUGUGGACCGUUUCAGUUGCUGAUGUUGUUACUGUUUCUCUUUCCUGUGUGAUGCCUUCUAGGUGGAAAAUGUCCAACAAUUGGUUCUUUCUCUCCUGGAGUGCUUUUGUGGGCUUUUUACAGACCCCCACCAUUAGAAACCCCUAAAGUCACCAUCUGCAGCUGUGGAUUGACUUAUCUGGUGAAUUGGGCAAAAUCCUUUCGUAACAGUGCCAGUCUGGCUUCUUUCUAGACACAGAAAUUCAUAAACCUUUGCACCCUCCUCCCUUAAGUCAAUAAAGAAAUAAUAUAAUUUUUCUGAAAUAAAGACGACCUAGAGACAAUGCCUCACUAGCAAGACUCAGCAAUAAUGAAAAUAAGUGUAUCCUCUGAAUUCUCAGCUUUAAAUCCUACAAACAAGUUGAGUAGAGAUUUCACUUCACUUUACCUGUUUAUUGAUUUCCUUUCAUCUGGUAUCUGGAUCAUCUCUUUUCUAACUUAAACCUAUACAAACAUGGUGGUCAGCUUACCAGGACAAGAGAUGGGAGAAUUUUGCGACGCCUUUGCAAAAUGCGUUUAUUCCAUGUAAUGGGAAGGCUGAUGAUAAUCAGAUUUUUCAUGGACCAAUUUAUUUAUCUUUAAUGUUCCAAAAUGUAAGUAAAGCCAUAGAAGUUAACUUUUUCUAUGUGCCUCCAUCCUCCACUCCCCCCAUUUCUGCACCUCUAAACCCUAGCCAUGUAUAAGUUCUAGCUCAAGAUCAACCUCUUUCUUGAAGCUUUCCCUGAUAAAUCUCUGGUCAAACUGAUCCUCAGCCUCCAAGAGACUAAUUUCUUGUAUGGCAUUUGCCACUUUCUAACUUGUAUUUUGUUUAUAUCUUCCUUUCCCUUCCAAUCUUUCAGGAAACACCACAUUUUAUAACUUUUUUCUUUCAUCCGCUAAGUUCAGCAUUUGGCAAAAUAGUGGGUGAAUAGGUGUUCAUUAAGUGAUUUUUGAAUAAAUAAUUUAAAUUCACCUAUAAGUUGAGUGUA
rnacentral:lncRNA from 1 species